rnacentral:rRNA from 1 species
GUAUUCUAGAGAAGCGUCUUCCACGCUGGUCCACGUAUAAGUGCCCUGGAACGGGCCGUCGCAGAGGGUGAGAAUCCCGUCCUUGACGUGGGCUACCAGUGUUUUUGUGAUGCGCUUUCUAAGAGUCGAGUUGUUUGGGAAUGCAGCUCAAAGUGGGUGGUAAAUUCCAUCUAAAGCUAAAUAUUGGCCUGAGACCGAUAGCGAACAAGUACCGUGAGGGAAAGAUGAAAAGCACUUUGAAAAGAGAGUCAAACAGUACGUGAAAUUGCUGAAAGGGAAACGCUUGAAGUCAGUCGCGCCUCCUGGGAUUCAGCCCCGCUUUUGCGGGGCGUACUUUCCAGGAGGCGGGCCAACAUCAGUUUCGACCGGCGGACAAAGGCCGGGGGAAUGUGGCUCCUCCGGGAGUGUUAUAGCCCCCGGUCACAUACGCCGGUCGGGACUGAGGAACGCAGCGCGCCCUCGUGGCAGGCCUUCGGGCACUUUCGCGCUUAGGAUGUUGGCAUAAUGGCUUUAAGCGACCCGUCUUGAAACACGGACCAAGGAGUCUAACAUAUCUGCGAGUAUUUGGGUGUCAAACCCGAGUGCGCAAUGAAAGUGAAUGCAGGUGGGAAGCGCAAGCUGCACCAUCGACCGGUCUGGAUUUUUAAUGAUGGAUCUGAGUAAGAGCAUAUAUGUUGGGACCCGAAAG